rnacentral:RNase_P_RNA from 1 species
ACGGAGGAUCGGGCAGCCGCUGCGAACCGGCGACGGUUUUGCAGAGGAAAGUCCGGGCGCCGCAGGGCAGGAUACCGCGGAUGCGCGGGGCCCGCAAGGGUACGGAAAGCGCCGCAGAGAGAAGACCGCUCUGCGCCGGGCUCGCGCUCGGCGCGGGGCGAGAUGUGAAAGGGUGGGGUAAGAGCCCACCGUCCCGGCUAGCCCGGGAGCAGGCAAGCCCUAUCCGGCGCAAGGCCAAGCAUGGGGGGAUCCCAGAGCAACGGGAGGGGGCGGCUCGUCCCCAAACCAUUCCCCCGGGUGGGCCGCUCAAUGCCCGAAGCAAUUCGGGCCAGACAAAUGGCUGCCUCUCCCAAAUAUUUGGGAAAGACAGAACCCGGCUUAUAGAUCCUGCGUCCAC